UAGUCCACGCCCUAAACGAUGUAUGCUUGGUGUUCGUAUAACGAGUGCCGGAGGUAACCCGUUAAGCAUACCACCUGGGAAGUACGAUCGCAAGGUUGAAACUCAAAGGAAUUGACGGGGGCCCGCACAAGCGGUGGAUCAUGUGGUUUAAUUCGAUGCAACGCGAAGAACCUUACCUAGGCUUGAAGUGUAGUGGACAGACCCUGAAAGGGGUUCUUCCUUCGGGACUGCUACAGAGGUGCUGCAUGGUUGUCGUCAGCUCGUGCCGUGAGGUGUUGGGUUAAGUCCCGCAACGAGCGCAACCCCUAUCUUUAGUUGCCAGCACGUAAUGGUGGGAACUCUAAAGAGACUGCCCGCGCAAGCGGUGAGGAAGGUGGGGAUGACGUCAAAUCAUCAUGGCCCUUACGUCUAGGGCUACACACGUGAUACAAUGGUAGAUACAAUGGGCGAAGCCGCGAGGUGAAGGAAAUCCCCAAAAUCUAUCUCAGUUCGGAUUGAAGUCUGCAACUCGACUUC
rnacentral:rRNA from 1 species